rnacentral:rRNA from 1 species
AUGAGCGCCCCCGACCACCACGGGCCACGAGGCCGCGGCGAGAUCGACGACACCGGGGGCCAGACAUAUGGCGUGGUCACCACCCAUUUGCUGCCUCCGGUCAAGGGUACGUUCUUGACCGGGCCUUCCUCCUCCCUUACCAACCAUACGACAGUGAUCGAGCCGCCCGCACCACACUCCACUCCGUUUAGUUGGUCAUUGCCCAAACUGGAUUUUCCUCCCUUCGAUGGAGAAAAUCCCCAAUUCUGGCGAACUCGUUGCGAAAAGUAUUUUUCAGUCUAUGGUGUUCACUCAGAUCUCUGGGUGCGUGUGGCUACCCUUCACUUCACCGGCAACACGGCCCGUUGGUUGCAAUUGCAUGAGUCACAGAGCGAAUCGAUGUCAUGGGAGGAAUUGUGCGCGGCACUAUGCGGAAAAUUUGGCUGGGAGUAGUAUCAAGCUCACUUUCGUCAGUUCCGCGCACUGCAUCAGACAGGCACCGUGCACAAUUACAUGCUGCAAUUCGAGGAACUCAUGCACCAGUUACUUGCGCAUAAUCCUUCAUUUGAUCAUGUGUUUUUCACUACCCAAUUUUUGGAAGGAUUGAGACACGAAAUUCGGGCUAGUGUAGUUCUUCAUCAAUCAAAGGACUUGGACUCCACUUUUUCUUUGGCUUCGAUGCAGGAAGAGCUACUGGAGGCGUUGCCAAGGCGGGAGUACCAUCGGCAGGAGGGGCCAGUACAGCGCGGAGGCGCUCGGCCGCUGAUAGCGCUCAGAGCACCACCAGCUCGCGCUACGGUGCCGGGAGCGCCGAUUGCGGCUGAAGACAGACGCGGCGUCGACGCGACCAAUCCACCAGACCGUCCACGGGCGGGUGAUGAUCGGUCGCCGCGCUCCGCAACUAUCGUCGCGCACGGGGCUUAUGCUUCAAAUGUGGGGAACGCUGGGGCCAAGGCCACCAGUGUGUCGCCACGGUCCAAUUGCAUGUGGUGGAAGAAUUACUGGAACUCCUUCAAGCUGACCAACACUAUCAAGAGCAGCCAGAAGCAGAGUCAGAUGACGAAGUACUCAUGUCCAUCUCCAAACUAG